rnacentral:lncRNA from 1 species
AUCCAUUUAUUUAUUUAUUUUAUCCAAAAUUUUCUGUCAUUAAAUCUGCCCUUUCAGUAAUUAAUCCAUGUCAAGUAAUAAAUGUUUGACAAGACUAGAUGUAGUGUGUGAAUUUUUCCUUAAUAAAAUAAGCCGACUUUUGGUUUUGGUUGCAUUCUCACAACUUGGAACCGUGUCUAGGCAUUGAAGAAAGAGAAACCUUGACUUUGGGUUAUUUUGUCCUAUAUUAUUAUUAUUAUUAUUAUUAUUAUUAUUAUUAUUAUUAUGUGUAGAGGGAGAGAGUAUUCAUUACCGCAUAUGUAUACGGAUAUAUAUAGAGUUAAAUGGUAAUUAUUUUAACACAUUUAAAAAGGUUUUGUCUCAAGUAGAUUAAAUUUAUAAAUUUAGUUGCCAGAAAUCCAACUUUAUUUGACUUCUAAGGAUGUGCCAGUUAGGAAUUUAAAUUCAUGAGCCAUAAGUGGUUUAAAAUAACAUUGACCAUUUUAUAAAUAAAUCUUUUUGUAGCGCCUCAAAUCCUUAAUUUUUGGGUCGUUAUAGCUUUGCUGAAUAUAAAAGUUACUAUUGCAGGCAGCGAUGUUACAUGAUGCAAUUCGAAAUUUUUGACCUUCGAUGAAUUGUGUUUUUAUUUAACUUUCUUGCUAAAAAUUGGAUGAAAUUUAUGGUGAUUUUUUUCUUAUUUAUAUGCAGGUUAUAUCUAUGCAUUAAGAAGUGUACUCCAUUGCAAAAGGCAAAGUGUUUGCAGCAGUUGCAGUCUAAUUAUUCUUAAUUAAUGUUGUUUUGAACUCACAAAUUAAGGAAUUGUAGGGAUAUGCUUGCAAUUUUUUGUAACAUGGUUUUCUAGUUUAUACAUUAAAAUUUGAACUCG